CCAGGCAUGAUGAUACACAUCUAUAAUCCUAGCACUUGGGAGACAGACAGAACGAUGACAGCCUGGUCCUACAUAGUGAGAGCCUGACGAGAAAACAAAUAAAAAAUAAAAUAAAAGUUAAAAUGGGGUGGAAGACCAUUAAUUCCUUGGGUGAAGUCAUAAUUGGUUUCUGAAAUGUGGAUGAUUUUUCUUGCAGUUUGUGUAUUUACACAAAAAGUAAAUAGAAGGAUUUUAUUUGGUAGUUUAUCCCUUUGUGACCACUGAUUAUACCCCAUCAGAAGUAGAGGAGCAGAUAGUCUAUGAAGUCAUGCUGGGAAGGACAGCCACACAAUGCCUGUGUUCUUAGAUAUCAUGUGAGGAUUGAGGCAUGUUUUAUGGAAAAUUUGGGGAGUUCCCAAGUUAAGAUAGCCCUGUCCUGGGCAUCCACGUCCUGGCUCUAGCUCACCUGUGGACACCUCAAAUAAAACAUUUACUUCUUUGGGUUGAAAAUUGGAAGACCUCUUAGACAAGUCCUUCUGGGUUUAAAACUCCAAAGGUUAGAAAGAUAGCUUAAUAAAUGCACUUCUGUUUCUAAGUGAAUGCCAAAGCUUGGAGUGUGGCUGGUACAGGUGCCUUUGGGAGGAACUUGGUGAGACAGAGGUAAUCUGACUCUUAGGAGGUUUGGGAUGGAAGUUUGGAGUAGAACCUGAGAGUUCUGCUCCCUGGAACCUCAGCACUAACUUGGUCUGUAUAAGUCAGCACCUCAAAAUUCAAAAGUUCAACUGUAGGAAUUAUCUGUAUGAAACUGGACCUUUCCAGCUUUUUCCUCUUCCCCUGGCAGUGAUUCAGAAGAAAAAGGCACAGGGAGUUUGCUCAUGGUCAUAGAGGUUUCUGUUUGAGUGCCCUACUCCACAAGGCUACUGCAGUUGUGUAGAGCAUCCUUGGGAGAGUGUGGUACAGGGGCAGGUGGUGAAGAGCAUACCUGCUCUCUGCCCAGCGAACUGGACCAGAAGUUUCUGCCUGCAUCCUUUACUUCAGUGCCAAUGACAACAGCCAAAGGCAAACUGGAAAAAUGGUUACUCUUUACUGGACACUUUUGGAAUAAGUUAUGAAGCCUGGGGGCAGGACUUUGUUCAGAGCAUAGUCACUUGAGUGGCAAUAGGCAUUUUAUUUUAUUUUUUUCAGAGAGGUAAUAGGCAUUUUUCAGAGUGGUAAUAGGAAUUUUUUCAGAUAUAUUUAGCAUAUUUCAUGGUUUCUUAUUGGCAUGGCAGGUCUUGAUUGCCUGUGCCUGAAAAUUUUUUGCUAAGAGCUCAAGAACUAUAAGGGAGGAUGUGAAAUGAUAUUUUGUGGUACAAGGAUUAUUUUGUCUAUUUAGUGUAUACAUAGCUGUAGCUUUAUAAAAAAAAGGGAUCUUUGUAAAAAAUACUGUAUGAAUGUGCACUUAUUUAUUGAUUAUUGUAAAUGAAGAUAUAAAUGGUUAUUUGCAUAAUUUAUACCUGUGGGAAAUUCCCUAGAUUAUUUGUUAUUUGACUGUUUUCUAUCAAGGAACAUUGGGCCUGGUGCUAUGAGGAAUGAUCUUGUAAAAUCACAUGUAUUCCGAAUAACAAUUUGCAAUAUAAAUUUCUUGAACUGAU